rnacentral:rRNA from 1 species
CGAACGGGUGAGUAAUACAUCGGAACGUGUCCGCUCGUGGGGGACAACCAGCCGAAAGGUUGGCUAAUACCGCAUGAGUUCUACGGAAGAAAGAGGGGGACCCGCAAGGGCCUCUCGCGAGCGGAGCGGCCGAUGACUGAUUAGCCGGUUGGUGAGGUAACGGCUCACCAAAGCAACAAUCAGUAGCUGGUCUGAGAGGACGACCAGCCACACUGGGACUGAGACACGGCCCAGACUCCUACGGGAGGCAGCAG